rnacentral:lncRNA from 1 species
UUUGAUACAUACUGCGAUGGAUUCAAUCCGCUGUACAUGGAAUGUUUGAUUGCCCCUUUCCAUUUCUAUAUCUGUAACAUUUCUUUCUCCAUUGAUCUUCAGAUUGUGGAGGGUUAUGCAAGCAGAGAUGCAGUCUUCACUCAAGGCCUAAUCUGUGCAACAGGGCAUGUGGCACCUGCUGUGUGAGAUGCAAGUGCGUGCCUCCUGGGACCUCAGGGAACAGAGAAGUGUGUGGGACAUGCUAUACUGACAUGACCACCCAUGGGAACAAGACCAAGUGCCCUUAGGACCAAGAACCGUGGGCUUUGGGUAGCUUUCUGUCUUGGGUUCUCUUUUCAGCUUUUGUCUAAUCAAAUGAUA